rnacentral:rRNA from 1 species
AUACGUAGGGGGCUAGCGUUAUCCGGAUUUACUGGGCGUAAAGGGUGCGUAGGUGGCCAAAUAAGUCAGGUGUGAAAGACCGGGGCUCAACCCCGGGGUUGCACUUGAAACUGUAUGGCUUGAGUACAGGAGAGGGAAGUGGAAUUCCUAGUGUAGCGGUGAAAUGCGUAGAUAUUAGGAGGAACACCAGUGGCGAAGGCGACUUUCUGGACUGUAACUGACACUGAGGCACGAAAGCGUGGGGAGC